UAUACGGAUGCGAUGACGAUCGGCUGGU
rnacentral:piRNA from 1 species